rnacentral:rRNA from 1 species
CAGCAGCCACGGUAAUACGAAGGGUGCAAGCGUUAAUCGGAAUUACUGGGCGUAAAGCGUGCACAGGCGGUUUGUUAAGACAGAUGUGAAAUCCCCGGGCUCAACCUGGGAACUGCAUUUGUGACUGGCAAGCUAGAGUGUGGCAGAGGGGGGUGGAAUUCCGCGUGUAGCAGUGAAAUGCGUAGAUAUGCGGAGGAACACCGAUGGCGAAGGCAGCCCCCUGGGCCAACACUGACGCUCAUGCACGAAAGCGUGGGGAGCAAACAGGAUUAGAUACCCCGGUAGUCCCUGUCUCUUAUAC